rnacentral:rRNA from 1 species
UACAGAGGUCUCAAGCGUUGUUCGGAUUCAUUGGGCGUAAAGGGUGUGUAGGUGGCGCCGUAAGUCGGGUGUGAAAUUUCGGAGCUUAACUCCGAAACUGCAUUCGAUACUGCGGUGCUUGAGGACUGGAGAGGAGACUGGAAUUCAUGGUGUAGCAGUGAAAUGCGUAGAGAUCAUGAGGAAGACCAGUGGCGAAGGCGGGUCUCUGGGCCGGAACUGACGCUAAGGAGCGAAAGCGUGGGGAGCGAACAGG